GCCGCAGACCGCCUUAUCACCGUUCGUAAGAAGGGAGGAAAGUCCGGACACCAUAGAGAAGCAUAGCGGGUAACGCCCGUCCGUCGAGAGGCGAGGACCAGUGCAACAGAAAGUAUGUACAGUUCGGCUGUAGUGAAACCAGGUAAACUCUAUGCGGUGAAAUUCCAAGUAUAUCGGCAUUUAAGGGUUUCUCGCCCGUUGUCGAAGGGUAGGAAGCUCGAACCAAUGAGUAAUUGUUGGUCUAGAUAAAUGAUAAGGACUCACUUUGUGGGUACAGAAUCCGGCUUAUAGGUCUGCUUUUUUU
rnacentral:RNase_P_RNA from 1 species